AUGCUCGCUUCGGCGGCACAUAUACCAAAAUUGGAAAGAUACAGAGAAGAUUAGCAUGGCCCCGACACAAGGGUGACAUGCUAAAGCAAGGCUGUCGUGCUGAAUUUU